rnacentral:rRNA from 1 species
UCAUAGGAGAUAAGAAGGCAUCUUUUUAUUUUUAAAGACCUAGCAAUAGGUAUGCUUAGGGAAGAGCUUGCGUCACAUUAGUUAGUUGGUGGGGUAAUGGCCUACCAAGACGAUGAUGUGUAGCCGGGCUGAGAGGUCGAACGGCCACAUUGGGACUGAGACACGGCCCAAACUCCUACGGGAGGCAGCAGUAAGGAAUUUUCGGCAAUGGAGGAAACUCUGACCGAGCAAUGCCGCGUGAACGAUGAAGUAUUUCGGUACGUAAAGUUCUUUUAUUAGGGAAGAAAAGAUGGUGGAAAAACCAUUAUGACGGUACCUAAUGAAUAAGCCCCGGCUAACUAUGUGCCAGCAGCCGCGGUAAUACAUAGGGGGCAAGCGUUAUCCGGAAUUAUUGGGCGUAAAGGGUGCGUAGGCGGUUAAAUAAGUUUAUGGUCUAAGUGCAACGCUCAACGUUGUGAUGCUAUAAAAACUGUUUAGCUAGAGUUGGAUAGAGGCAAGUGGAAUUCCGUGUGUAGUGGUAAAAUGCGUAAAUAUACGGAGGAACACCAGAAGCGAAGGCGGCUUGCUGGGUCUUAACUGACGCUGAGGCACGAAAGCGUGGGGAGCAAACAGGAUUAGAUACCCUGGUAGUCCACGCCCUAAACGAUGAGUACUAAACGUUGGAUAAAACCAGUGUUGAAGUUAACACAUUAAGUACUCCGCCUGAGUAGUACGUACGCAAGUAUGAAACUUAAAGGAAUUGACGGGACUCCGCACAAGCGGUGGAUCAUGUUGUUUAAUUCGAAGGUACCCGAAAAACCUCACCAGGUCUUGACAUGCUUUUGCAAAGCUGUAGAAAUACAGUGGAGGUUAUCAGAAGCACAGGUGGUGCAUGGUUGUCGUCAGCUCGUGUCGUGAGAUGUUGGGUUAAGUCCCGCAACGAGCGCAACCCUUGUUGUUAAUUGCCAUCAUUAAGUUGGGGACUUUAGCAAGACUGCCAAUGAUAAAUUGGAGGAAGGUGGGGACGACGUCAAAUCAUCAUGCCCCUUAUGACCUGGGCUACAAACGUGAUACAAUGGCUGUUACAAAGGGUAGCUAAAGCGUAAGCUUCUGGCGAAUCUCAAAAAAGCAGUCUCAGUUCGGAUUGAAGUCUGCAACUCGACUUCAUGAAGUUGGAAUCGCUAGUAAUCGCGAAUCAGCAUGUCGCGGUGAAUACGUUCUCGGGGUUUGUACACACCGCCUUAU